GCCCCUCCACUGGGGCCCAGGGCCCUCCCCCUCCUCUUCCUAUUCCUCCUCCGGUGUGGACGGCGGCCGGCGGCGGAGCCCCAGCAGUGCUGCUGACAGAACGCAUCAAGUUCAUUGACAAGAUCACAAUCUGAUCCCAAAGAUGUGCUCCACAAACCCAAGCAACUGGGUCACAUUUGAUGAUGACCUCACUUUUCAAUCUUCUCAAAAGUCAAAAAAUUUCCCUGUGGAGAAUCAAGGCAUCUGUAGGCCAAAUGGACUUAAGCUGAAUCUUUCUGGGCCUAAGGAACUUCCAAGUGGAUCUUCCUCCACCAGCAGUACCCCUCUCUCCUCUCCCAUUAUAGACUGUUACUUCAGUCCAGGUCCUCCAAGUAAUUCUCCUCUUUCUACACCCACCAAAGACUUCCCAGGUAUUCCUGGCAUCCCCAAAGCAGGGACUCAUGUGCUUUAUCCUAUUCCAGAAUCAUCUUCAAACAGUCCACUCACAACACCAGGAGGAGAUUCUUCCUUACUGCCUACUAAACCAACCUGUUUAUCCCAUGCUUCCUUACCCAAAGACCACUCAUGUGCACAUCCAGAUGAAAUUAGCCCUCACCAAGCCGAAAGCCUAGGGUUCCAGAGUGAUGCUCCCAAGUUUCCAUAUUUUCAGGAGGACUGUGCUUUUUCAAGUCCGUUUUGGAAAGAUGAAGGCAUUGUUUCCCAGUUCACCUUUGACCUUCCAGGAAGCAGAAAGACAUUGCCAUCAAGAGACAAAGAGGUGCCUAUUGAUCAAAAAAGCUUAAAUCAAUGUUCACUCAACUAUAUCUGUGAAAAGCUUGAACAUCUUCAAUCAGCUGAGAACGAAGACUCAUUUGGAAAUUUAUCUAUGCAAUGUCUGUAUGCUGAAGACACUGUCUCUUCCUUUGUUCCCCACAUGCUGUUCAGGAGUCAGCCAAAAACUGGAUGGUCUUUCAUGCUGAGAAUUCCUGAGAAGAAGAACAUGAUGUCUUCCCGCCAGUGGGGACCAAUUUUUCUAAAAGUCUUGCCUGGUGGAAUUUUGCAAAUGUAUUAUGAAAAGGGGCUAGAAAAACCAUUCAAAGAGUUCCAGCUUGAUUCACAUUGCAGGCUUUCUGAACCCAAAGUUGAGAACUUUAGUGUGGCAGGAAAAAUCCAUACUGUGAAGAUUGAACAUGUGUCUUACACAGAAAAAAGGAAAUACCAUUCUAAAACAGAAGUAGUUCAUGAACCAGACAUAGAACAGAUGCUGAAGUUGGGGUCCCCAGAGUACCAUGACUUCCUUGACUUUCUGACUACUGUGGAGGAGGAGCUGACAAAGCUGCCAUCAGUUUCAAAAUCAAAAAAGAACUAUGAGGAACAAGAAAUUUCCCUGGAAAUUGUGGACAAUUUUUGGGGUAAAAUCACUAAAGAAGGAAAAUUGGUCGAAAGCACUGUGAUAACUCAAAUCUGUUGCCUCUGUUUUGUGAAUGGGAAUACCGAAUGCUUUUUAACCUUGAAUGACCUUGAGCUGCAGAAGCAAAAUGAAUGCUAUUUUGAAAAAGACCCAGAAAGGAAAGGGAUUGAUAUUCUUGACUAUCAUUUUCAUAAGUGUGUGAAGACACAAGAAUUUGAGCAAUCAAGAAUCAUUAAGUUUGUACCUUUGGAUGCCUGCCGGUUUGAGAUAAUGCGUUUCAAGACUUUGUAUAAUGGGCAAGAUCUUCCCUUUUCCCUGAAGUCUUUAGUGGUUGUCCAGGGGGCAUAUGUGGAACUUCAGGCCUUUGUCAACAUGGCCCCAUUGGCCCAGAGACCAUCCCACACCAGUUCCUUGUGGUCCUGUGACAACAUAAUGAUACACUUUCCUGUCCCAUCUCAGUGGAUCAAGGCCCUCUGGACCAUGAACCUCCAGAGGCAGAAGUCCCUGAAAGCCAAAAUGAACCGCCGGGCAUGUCUGGGAAGUUUACAUGAACCUGAGUCUGAACCUGUCAUACAGGUCACUGUGGGGUCAGCAAAAUAUGAGAGUGCCUAUCGGGCUGUGGUGUGGAAGAUAGAACGGCUUCCUGAUAAAAAUUCAAGUCCUGAUCAUCCCCAUUGUUUGUCAUACAAACUAGAACUUGGAUCAGACCAAGAAAUUCCCUCUGACUGGUAUCCAUUUGCUACUAUUCAGUUUGGGAUGCUUGACACCAGUGCCUCAAGGACAGAGGUCAAGUCUCUGGGGGUGGAGAGUGAUGUCCAGCCACAGAAACAUAUUCAUCAGCGAGCUUGCUACAAUAUGCAGGUUGAAAUAGAAAAGAAGUGGAUUAAAAUCGAUGGAGAGGACCCAGAUACAGCUGGUGACUGCGUGACUCAGUAGGAGUGGCAAGAGUGAAUGCUGACGACCCACUUUUCAGAUAUGUAAUUCACAGAAACCACCCAGAGUUCUGCUACUACCCAGUGGCAAUGACUUCUAAAUAGAGGGCUUAGGGCAGGCCCAAUGGCUGUAUUUAGAGUUUAAACCUGAAACUGAACAAUCUAUAUUUUAUGCUUUUAAUAUGCUUGUGCCCUAGGGGUUUGAUCUAAAAUGUGUGCAUAGUUUGCAUCAUGUUUUACUUACUAUUGAAAAUCAAAGACACAGUUACUCAGUGUGUGACCCGAUAGCCAUCUUGGCUUAAGGAUUUUUGACUUUUGAUUACUUAGUGGCUGAUUUGUACUCUGCAUUACCUAGAUGCCAUAUUUAUUAUCCUCCAGUCCCUAUCUGUUCUGGCUACAUUAGCACCUUUAUUGGAGGUGAGGUAAUAAAAGGAGACAUAAACAGAAAUACACCAUUUUCCCUCUUGCUCAGCUCUGAAAUGUGGCUAGGUGUGAAAUGAUGUUGAAACCACAGGCUGAAAUAGAGAUGUGGACGUAUCUGUGAUUUUGAAUUAUUUAUCUUCCUGUCCUCAUACUACAUUGGGAAAUGUAUACUGCCUCACUAGUAAGGAGCCAGUGAACAUGACAUCUUGGCACAUCCUGGAAAAAAAAACCCAUCAAACUACAAUUUGUGAUGUUAAAGGAUGAUUUUUAAAAGAGGAUGUAUAAUCAUUACUCUCAUGAAGAUGUGUGUAUGUGCCCAAGGUUUUACCUGACUCAUUAACUAAUGAGGAAACUGGUAAGAUGUUACAACUGGUUCCAAGGAGAAUUCAAAGAACAGCGGCAUACAUAGGAAAUAAGGAAUUCUGAAAUGAAUUUAUGAGUAGUGGCAAAAUGGAUCUAUCCACAGGGCAAUAAUCAAUAAUGAAUUUCCUCUGCCCCAACGUAAUUAAUUUGCAUUCCCUAUACAGGAUCAUGUGUGUUAUUAUCAGCUUUCUAAAACUUACAGAGUUGUAAAAUAACUUGACAAUGAUAGAUGUUGAUACCUGGAUUAGUGAACUAGUAAGACACCUACUAUUCGGUCUUUCACAAUUUCCUGACAACAGGACAAACUUUGUCUACAGGAGAAUUCUAAGGAAUUUUCAGACUUCGGCAACUAAUAUUAUAGAAAUGAUAUACAUUUAAAGCAAUUUUUGUAAGUUUAGAAAACUGUUUUUAUACAAUUGUAGUGAAUAUAUUUCAGAUAAGUAUGUGUUGGGGGGAGGGAGCCAUAAAAAAUAUGAAGAUAAAUCAGCUCUUAUAAAAACCAAUCUAACAACCUCUCCUCCUGCCCUUUUUCUAAGAAAGCUGCCAUGUGUUGAAAUUUAAUUUUUAUUUAACUAUUAAAGUUAAAUUUCAAAACUGUAUCAGGAAAUAAAACUUGAUAAGAGGCCAGACUUUUAGGCACUAUUUAGCUGUUGGAAUUAGCUGACUUUGGCUCUGUUACUGCAGAAAGAACAGAAGGACUAAGUGUCACAAACUGAUAUUUGUAACAAAAUUCCUCAAAUUCCCAUCAAUCCUUUACCUCUUUUGUUUCAAAUCUACCUAAACUGCCCUACCCCUUUGUGCAAACACUGAUGAUUCCACGAGAUUUUGCUGUUUCCCAGGCUCACCCCCAUUUUGGCAGCUACUCCACUCUGAGGACCUUUGUGCCUUCACCCAGGGUCCUAAAGCACAGGUAUAUUUGAUUGAACCGUAUGAACUGGUCAAUAUUUAACCAUUCUUGAUAGCUGUUUCAUGGGGCUCAAACCUAAUGACCCACAUAUUUUCCCAGUUUAUAUGAAGCAAAGGCUUUUUCUUAUUAUAAAUGUAUUAAUACAUUUCUUCUUAGAACUGGCAAUUAAAUAUGAAUUUGUAAAUUAAAUUUUAAAGUAAUGCAGAAUUGCUGGCCAGAAAGCAAAUAAUUGAGUUUCAAAAAAAUACCUUAAAUAAAGGCUGCAGGUAAUAUUAUGCUUUUAAAUUCAUGUUCUGUCUGUAAGGAAAAGAAAAACAGAUUAGACUCAUUUACCCAGGUUUUAAAAGAUUAAAGUUCAUUUCUAUGAGCUUCCUGGGGAAGAAAUGCAAAUCACCAUUACACAUCAAAGACUGGAACUCUGAUCUUUCCCUCAUCUACCUUCUCCAAAGCAGCCUUACAAACCUCAGGUAGGAGGAUAGCAUAUUAAAAUAGUAUCACUGUGUGUGUUGGCAUUUCCCUGAAAAGCCAUUUUGUACUGCCUAAAAUUGCUGUAAACUCUGUGUACUGAAAUUUUUGGUUAACUCUUAAAACAGAAGAGGGCGCUCGCAGGCAAGCAGCUGCUACCCAUACCCAGAGUUAAAAACUCACAUUUGAAUUUGGUGGUGCUUGCAUUGUGAUUAAUAAAAGAUCUUGGGGGCAUUUUGUAAAGUGUUUCAAGGCAUUGUGAAUCCAGUGAAGUAUAAUUAAAAUUAAUGCAGUAGACAAACACUUUAAGUAUUCUUAAUGCCUUGUCUAAAACUGUUGUUGGAUACAAAUUUAUACAUCCUGAAGAUUUAAAUACCAUGCUUUUAUCUCUAAACAUUUCUAAGUACUACAGAGACAGGAAAUAGUGCCUUCCUUCUCAACGGUUUUCAAACAACCUUUCUCUAAUGAGAGUUAACUCUAAAUCUGCUUACUUUCAGAGAUUAAAAAAAUACUACAAUGCAUCCAUCCUGUUUGCCUUCUGAGCUUCAGUUGCGUGUAUCAAGGUCAGUGUGGUCUCUAAAAGCUCCAGACCAGGAUUGCACUCUCAGGUUCUUAGGUAAGAACAAGCAAAUAUAUGCUUCCAGGAGAAUAUUCCAUGCCACCAGGACACAGGGACAAACCUUCACCUUGUUUAGGUUUCACCCUGUUCAGAAAUCAGUAAUGGGCACUCUCUUCAUAACAUGUUGUCAUUCUCUUACAAAGCCUGUUAGAACAAUAUGUUCCCCCAAAUCUUAUAGCAUGCCUAAGUCUGUGAAUGUGGCUCUACACACGAGGCCUUCCCAAAGGUGUCUUCCACGCUCUGAGGUACAAAAGGCUUGCUUAAGACACUGGCUGCUUCAAGUGGUCAUUUUGAAUCACUUCAUGUGACCUUUGUUUCAUCUCCUGUGACCUCACACCUUAUGUGACCAUUGUUCCAAUGAAUUGUCUUACUGAUUCUAAUGUUUACUGUGUGCCUACUAUGUGCCUGCAUUUUUCUUGGUGCUGGGGAUAACCAAUCACAAAAUGGUAAAUUCCUGUUCUUGUAGAGGAUAUAUAAUAAUGAGAGAUGUCAGACAAUAAACAGAUACCAAGUUGUGAUCAUUGCUAUGCAGGAAAAGAAAAAUAACAGAGUGGCAGGUGAAACCUAUUUUAGGCAGUUUGGUCAGGGAAGUCCUCUCUAAUGAGAUGCCAUUCUAGCAGAGACAUGAAAGAAGUUAGGGAGCAAGACACAAAGAUCUCCCAGAGAAGAGUGUAUCCAGCAGAGGGAACUCCUAGUGCAGAGGCAGGGAGUGUGCUUAGCCUCUCAGAGGAGCACUGAGGAGGGCAGAUGGCUGCUAGCUGGCUGGAGCAGAGUCAGCAAGGAGAUGGUUCGAGGAGAGAGCAGAGAUAUCAUGGGUAGGUGAGGGGAGCAGAUCACAAGGACUAUGUAGGCUGUGGGAAGGACUGUGGAUUGUAUUCUGAGUCAGAUGGGAGCCAGUAGGUUUUGUGCAGAGGGGUGACAUGAACUUUGUGUUAUGAUUCUGUGGACACAGAAGGGGAUCACGGACAGGAACAGAGCAGUUAGAGGGCUAUUGCGAUAACCCAGGUGAGUGCUGAUGGUGACUACGAGUGGUGCUGGGAGAUGAAGAAUGGGUGGAUUCAGAAUCCAUUUGAAUUACAGAGCUAAUAGUAUUUGCUGGUAGAUUGGAUUGGAUUCCUAGUGUGAGGGAAAGAAGGAAACCAAAAAUGACUCCCAGAUUUUUGGCCUGAGCAUCUAAAAAAUGGAGCUGUCUUUUAUGGAAGACUGUUGUAGAAGAAAAUUUAGGAAGAAAGAUCAGUAAUUCAGGUUUGGAUGUGUUAACUUUGAGAUGCCUAUUAGACAUCCAAGUGGAGACACUAGGUAGCAACUGGAUAUACAAGGCAGGAAAGAGAGAGCUGGGCUGAAAUGUGGCUUUUAAACAUAUCAGUAAUGAAGUUGUAAGGCUGGAUGAGAUCACCUAGAAG